GGGGGCAUGGUGUAAUGGGGAACACACCGCGUUUGCACCGCGGAGUUGCGGGUUCGACUCCCGCUGCGUUCCACCA
rnacentral:tRNA from 1 species